UACGAAGGGGGCUAGCGUUGUUCGGAUUAACUGGGCGUAAAGGGUGCGUAGGCGGGGUUUUAAGUCAGGGGUGAAAUGCCGAGGCUCAACUUCGGAACUGCCUUUGAUACUGAAGAUCUUGAGUUCGGGAGAGGUGAGUGGAACUGCGAGUGUAGAGGUGAAAUUCGUAGAUAUUCGCAAGAACACCAGUGGCGAAGGCGGCUCACUGGCCCGAUACUGACGCUGAGGCACGAAAGCGUGGGGAGCAAACAGG
rnacentral:rRNA from 1 species